UAAUCGGCCCUUUUCAGGGCCACUAAUAUUUUUCUAACGUAAUAC
rfam:Trichomalopsis sarcophagae strain Alberta scaffold14885, whole genome shotgun sequence.